rnacentral:rRNA from 1 species
CAGCCGCCGCGGGAAUACGUAGGUCCCGAGCGUUGUCCGGAUUUAUUGGGCGUAAAGCGGGCGCAGGCGGUUAGAUAAGUCUGAAGUUAAAGGCUGUGGCUUAACCAUAGUACGCUUUGGAAACUGUUUAACUUGAGUGCAAGAGGGGAGAGUGGAAUUCCAUGUGUAGCGGUGAAAUGCGUAGAUAUAUGGAGGAACACCGGUGGCGAAAGCGGCUCUCUGGCUUGUAACUGACGCUGAGGCUCGAAAGCGUGGGGCGCAAACAGGAUUAGAUACCCCUGUAGUCCCUGUCUCUUAUACA